CCUACGGGAGGCAGCAGUGAGGAAUAUUGGUCAAUGGGCGCGAGCCUGAACCAGCCAAGUAGCGUGAAGGAUGACUGCCCUACGGGUUGUAAACUUCUUUUAUCAAGGAAUAAAGUGAGGCACGUGUGCCUUUUUGGAUGUAUUUUAUGAAUAAGGAUCGGCUAACUCCGUGCCAGCAGCCGCGGUAAUACGGAGGAUCCGAGCGUUAUCCGGAUUUAUUGGGUUUAAAGGGUGCGCAGGCGGAAGAUGAAGUCAUCGGUAAAAGUGAGAGGCGCAACCUCGUCGAGCCGUUGAAACUGGUUUUCUUGAGUGAGUGAGAGGGAUGCGGAAUGCGUGGUGUAGCGGUGAAAUGCAUAGAUAUCACGCAGAACUCCGAUUGCGAAGGCAGCAUACCGGCGCUCAACGGACGCUCAUGCACGAAAGUGUGGGUAUCGAACAGGAUUAGAUACCCCAGUAGUC
rnacentral:rRNA from 1 species